CCAGCCCAGGAGAGGACACUGCAUGCCAUGCAGAGCCACCCAGGAGCAAAGUGAACCUGUAGUGUCAAGAGAGUGAGCUGACAUCUGGUUCCUUUGGAGGAUGUGAUUGGCCUGUUUGAGUCAUUCUACUAGCUGGAGGGAACUGAAACUCACUGUGCCAGGUGAAGUAGGACCUGCCUUCGGUUUCCUUGAUUUGGAGGCUUACUUGGCUGGGACCUCGUCCAUAGGAGCAGAGUGGGGAGGGGAACUUCCUAUUAGGACAUGCAGGGCCCUCCCAAUCUCACCACAUAUCAAGGCAACAGAGAAUAUUUCAUUUUAAUAAUUAAUUAUUAAAUUAAUGAUUAAAUUUAACUUAAUUUUAAAUCUAACACCAGACAUGUGAACCUCGUGAACCUCUCAUUCUCUUGGUGUAUAAAACCAGAGCAGGUAAAAAGACUUUUUCCCCUACAAGCUACCCAAGGCUAGGACAAGGCAAUACUGUGAGAAAGAAGCAGUUAUUUGGUAUCUUCAGGCAAGGAGACAUUUUAUUUCCUUUCCUGAAAUAUGGAUACCGUUCUACUCCUACCACCUAGCUUCCAGUCAUUGAUUAAGAGGGGAGGGAGAUAAGUUUAUCUGUUUCCCAAUUUAGAUCCCCUCUCAAAACAACAGAAUGAUUCAUAAUUUUCUUAUGUACUCCGUAGCCACUACUUCACAACCUCUCUCCCACCCAUUGUUGAAAAACGAUUUUCUUUUCUUACAUAUUUCAUGGCACACUUGUUUAUGUUUAUAUUAUUAAUAUCUAUAUCUUGGACAACAUUAUAAAGCCUUGGAAAGUCAGUGCAUGCUCUGUACUUUGCAAAGGUCAUUAGCAGAAGGAUAAGAAUAAAGGAGUGGCCUCCACCUGCUCACCUCUGCCACCUUGGAUUUGACGUCAUUAACACCGCUGCCCCUUUGUCAGGCACUGCGGGUGUUGUGAUUGGGAGAGAGAGUGUGCUUCCAUGAACACAGGACGUGCAGGAGGCAUAUUGGAUUCCUUUGCCUUCAGCAUAACAGAGGAGGUGGCCCCAAACACCACGGGAAGGCUCCUGAUGCUGACCUGGGGGUGAUCCCCUUCUCCCUGGAGCUCCGUGGCCUCUGGGCUUGGCCUCAAACAGGUGUCACAUUGCUGUGUUCCUGUGUCUGGGAGACUCUCUGCCUCCUCUCACUGUGUUCAAACCAACCCCUAGGACUCAGCUCCAGAGGCAGAAGGCACCUGAAAGAGAGUUCCACUUCUAGCAUUUUUCAGAUGGCAAACGAGGCUCAGCAAGGCCAGGGGAUUUCCUCCCGGAUAUAGAGGCAUAGACGCGGUCAAGACCAGGUCUCUGGAUUCCCUUUCUAGUAUGACUUAUAUUAAAGCAGCAUCUUCUCAGGUCUAAGAGUCCUCGUGUAUGUAAAACGAGGGGUAUGCAAGGUGGCUCUAAAGUCCCUUCCAUCUGUGCCUUAUGUACUGAUACGCUAUUAUUGGGUAUGUACUGAUUGUUUCAUUUUAGAAUUCACUGUUCUCAAUGCAUUGACUAGAAUGUUACCAACUGAAAUGAAUCAGGAAGAGGACAUAAUUUUGCUUGGCUCUUUUAAGCUUAAAUUCAAUUUCUGUUUUUUUAAUGGUAAGAAUGUGAGGAAACAAAUGGUAAAUUCACCCACAGUAAAAAAAAAAGAAAAAGAGGUUCAAAUACACACCUUCAGGUGAUUUGUGCACAGGAAAAGCACUAUGUUACGUGAUUCUUAAAUAGUUUAUCUAACUAUACCAGGAAAAGUCUCCUUCUGGUGCAGUGGGGCGGGGGAAGGCAGGGAUACGCAGGGAAUGAUGGUGAUAAGCAUUUUCCAAAUUAGGAAAUAGAUAUGCUUUUCUUCUUACUCUCUUACAUAACUGAUCUAUUUUAGAAGACAACACAAAAAAACUGAAAUGAAAUACAAAUCUCAUGAUUUUACUACUUUGUUAGCAAAGACAGAAGUAACGCUGGAAGGGAAAGAGAGGAGAGUUUCACCCCAUCCUAUUCCUCUUGGCCCGGAGGAUUUUUUUUUUUUUUUUUCCCACAGGAUUCCCUCUCCUCCAUGGCAGCCUGCUGGGUGAGUCAGAGACCAAAGUCCAAAUUUUAGAAAAUGAAUGAAGAAAGAUACUAAUUUUCUCUCCUCUGAAUUUAAAAAGCAGUCGCAUCAAAGUACAUCUCCUCUUUUGGUGGCAUAGCAUGACAGACAAGUGACCGGUCUUAGAGUCAGUGAUCGUUUUGCCCCAGACUUCCUGAUUCAGAGGGAAAUUGUGCUGCACACAAAGGCCACAGAGGCAGUACAACCUCUUACAUAAAUAAGUUACAUAAAUGAGAACCAGUUACGUAAAUGUAUAAACGAGCAAACAGGAAUUAUAACCAUUCACAAAUGCCAAGGAGAACACGGCAAGAUUCCUCCUACAGUCCCAUUUUUCCCCCUUCACAUUAUCAUAAUUGUACUAUUUUAUUUCACACCAGAAUCAGAUAUGGCUAUUUGUCACAUUUAUUGGGGAAAGAAAUUCCAAAGGAUAAAUGCUGCUUCAUAUUAUUUUCUGAACCAUAUAUUUUACUUUUGGGGGAAAUUCCCUAAUAAAACCUGAUUUGAACUAUACUUGAUAAGAAACAUAAGCAUGUUUAUCAACUUAUACUUUUUUUGUGUAAUCAUGAACACAUGUAUUCAUUACUAUUGUACAUUUUGCAAGCGGCUCUUAGGAUAGGAAUACAUCACAAAAGUAAAUGUCCAUGGGCAUAUGGAUAUUUGUUUUACUACUUAUGGUUUCAAGUUUCAGAUGAGUAUGUGGGCAUCUGACUAAUGUCAUUCUUCUGUUUAUGGAGGGAAGGCAGUGAUUCAGGGGUCUAGAAUUAGAUUCAAGGUUGUGCUUGUGAAUCAAUCCCAAUACACCACACUUCAGAUGAUUAGGAGUUGCUCCUUGGGUCUCAGCUGGCAAUCUGUUUCAGGUUCAAUGGGGAUGUUGUCUUGGGGGCAGUGUAUCUACGUCUCUGAAGUCGUGAGAUUUGCUAAUUAUGUAGUAGAAACACAUGUAACUCAAAGCAGUUUUGAGCCUAACUGCCUGUUCUCUGUAAAGAGGGAUGUUGAUUAAACGUUAGCCAGUUUCAUACAUAGUAUGCUCAGGUUGAGUCCCUUUAGCUCCGUUUUGAAAAUCUCAUGUGAAAUAUUUUUAUCUAAGAUCUAAUAAUAGUGGAAUGCGAGUAAAGUGAUCUUAAAACGUUUGUA